GCAAGUCUGGUGCCAGCAGCCACGGUAACUCCAGCUCCACUAGCGUAUAUUAAAGUUGCUGCAGUUAAAAAGCUCGUAGUUGGAUCUCGGUAGCAUUGUUGCCUGCUGGUAAUUGAGCGGUCGGUGUGUGGCCAACGGUGCGCGGUCGCGUCGGCACGCGGUCUGCGUGUGGCCGUGUGGUGAGCGCGGGUCGGCUGGUAGGUUGGCAGGCGAGCUGGCUGGCUGGCUGGCUGGCUGGCUGGCUGGCUGGCUGGCUGGCUGGCUGGCUGGCUGGCUGGCUGGCUGGCUGGCUGGCUGGCUGGCUGGCUGGCUGGCUGGCUGGCUGGCUGGCUGGCUGGCUGGCUGGCUGGCUGGCUGGCUGGCUGGCUGGCUGGCUGGCUGGCUGGCUGGCUGGCUGGCUGGCUGGCUGGCUGGCUGGCUGGCUGGCUGGCUGGCUGGCUGGCUGGCUGGCUGGCUGGCUGGCUGGCUGGCUGGCUGGCUGGCUGGCUGGCUGGCUGGCUGGCUGGCUGGCUGGCUGGCUGGCUGGCUGGCUGGCUGGCUGGCUGGCUGGCUGGCUGGCUGGCUGGCUGGCUGGCUGGCUGGCUGGCUGGCUGGCUGGCUGGCUGGCUGGCUGGCUGGCUGGCUGGCUGGCUGGCUGGCUGGCUGGCUGGCUGGCUGGCUGGCUGGCUGGCUGGCUGGCUGGCUGGCUGGCUGGCUGGCUGGCUGGCUGGCUGGCUGGCUGGCUGGCUGGCUGGCUGGCUGGCUGGCUGGCUGGCUGGCUGGCUGGCUGGCUGGCUGCUGGCUGGCUGGCUGGCUGGCUGGCUGGCUGGCUGGCUGGCUGGCUGGCUGGCUGGCUGGCUGGCUGGCUGGCUGGCUGGCUGGCUGGCUGGCUGGCUGGCUGGCUGGCUGGCUGGCUGGCUGGCUGGCUGGCUGGCUGGCUGGCUGGCUGGCUGGCUGGCUGGCUGGCUGGCUGGCUGGCUGGGCUGGCUGGCUGGCUGGCUGGCUGGCUGGCUGGCUGACUGGCUACAGGUGUGGACGGGUGUUGGGCAGCGCUCUGCACGCGUUGUGGAGUCUGUCGGCUCGUCUGCAUGCCUUUGGAUGCCCUUGAAAAGGUGUCUGCGGGCGGAUGGCACGUUUACUUUGAACAAAUUUGAGUGCUCAAAUCAGGCCGAUGUUGCCUGAAAAGUUUUGCAUGGAAUGAUGGAAUAGGACUUCGGUUCUAUUUCGUUGGUUUUCGGAUCCGAAGUAAUGAUCAAAAGAGACAGGCGGGGACGUUUGUAUGGCUGCGCUAGAGGUGAAAUUCAUGGACCGUAGCCAGACAGACUAAAGCGAAAGCAUUCGUCAAGCAUGCUUUCAUUGGCCAUGAGCGAAAGUCAGAGGCUCGAAGACGAUCAGAUACCGUCCUAGUUCUGACCAUAAACGAUGCCAACUGACGAUCCGUGGUGGUAGUAGUGUCACCUUCCCCACGGGCAGUCCCCGGGAAACCUUUAAGUGUUUGGGUUCCGGGGGAAGUAUGGUUGCAAAGCUGAAACUUAAAGGAAUUGACGGAAGGGCACCACCAGGAGUGGAGCCUGCGGCUUAAUUUGACUCAACACGGGAAAACUCACCCGGGCCGGACACUGUGAGGAUUGACAGAUUGAGAGCUCUUUCUUGAUUUGGUGGUUGGUGGUGCAUGGCCGUUCUUAGUUGGUGGAGCGAUUUGUCUGGUUAAUUCCGAUAACGAACGCGACUCCAACCUGCUAAUUAGUGCGUUUGUCCACUGCGCCUGCGUAGGUGACGCUGGAUGACACCACCUGUCACGAGGACGUGGCAGCGGCUCUUCUCUCCGCUUCUCCGCUCGAAUGCCCUCCAGCGCCUCCUCCUCCUCCUCCUCCUCCUCCUCCUCCUCUCCUCCCCCUUCUUCAGCGCCUCAUCUGGCCGGCUGGCUGGCUGGCUGGCUGGCUGGCCGGGUGAGGUGGUGGUGGCGGUGGCGGUGGCGGUGGCGGUGGUGAGGGUGAUGGGGUGGGGAUGGUGCGGGUGGGCGAGUGGAUUGUGGUGGAGGUGUGGGGUUGGGUGCGGCGCUCGUGGCCGAUUAGUCUGGCGUUGGCCUCCGGGUGUGGCGCGAAUGCCUACUUCUUAGAGGGACAAGCGGGAGAAGCCGCACGAAAUAGAGCAAUAACAGGUCUGUGAUGCCCUUAGAUGUCCGGGGCCGCACGCGCGCUGCAAUGACGGUGUCAGCGAGUCAGGCCUUCUGGCCCGAAAGGGUUGGGCAAACUGGUCAAUCACCGUCGUGACAGGGAUCGGGGCUUGGAAUUGUUCCCCGUGAACGAGGAAUUCCUAGUAAGUGCAAGUCAUAAGCUUGCGCUGAUUACGUCCCUGCCCUUUGUACACACCGCCCGUCGCUACUACCGAUUGAAUGGUUUAGUAAGGUCCUCGGAUUGGCGUCAUUGCGACGGUGGCCGAGAGGUCACAGCCCGAGGGGCGCUGAGAAGACGACCGAACUUGAUCAUUUAGAGGAAGUAAAAGUCGUAACAAGGUUUCCGUAGGUGAACCUGCGGAAG
rnacentral:rRNA from 1 species